UACGUAGGGCGCAAGCGUUGUCCGGAAUUAUUGGGCGUAAAGAGCUCGUAGGCGGACUGUCACGUCCGCUGUGAAAAGCUAGGGCUUAACCCUGGCCUUGCAGUGGAUACGGGCAGACUAGAGGUAGGUAGGGGAGAAUGGAAUUCCCGGUGUAGCGGUGAAAUGCGCAGAUAUCGGAAGGAACGCCCGUGGCGAAGGCGGCCCUCUGGGGUGUACCUGACGCUGAGGCGCGAAAGCGUGGGGAGCGAACCGG
rnacentral:rRNA from 1 species